rnacentral:rRNA from 1 species
GGGCCCGCACAAGCGGUGGAGCAUGUGGUUUAAUUCGAUGAUACGCGAGGAACCUUACCAGGGUUUAAAUGCAGAACGACAGGGGUGGAAACACCCCUUCUUCGGACGGACUGCAAGGUGCUGCAUGGUUGUCGUCAGCUCGUGCUGUGAAGUGUCGGGUUAAGUCUCAUAACGAGCGCAACCCCCAUUUCUAGUUGCCAGCGGUUCGGCCGGGGACUCUAGAGAAACUGCCAGCGUAAGCUGUGAGGAAGGUGGGGAUGACGUCAAAUCAUCACGGCCCUUACAUCCUGGGCCACACACGUGCUACAAUGGUAGGGACAACAGGUUGCCAACCCGCGAGGGUGAG